rnacentral:rRNA from 1 species
UACGUAGGGGACGAGCGUUGUCCGGAAUUACUGGGCGUAAAGGGCGCGCAGGCUGCGUUACAAGUCAGCUGUUAAAUGCAUGGGCUUACCCCAUGAGUGCGGUUGAAACUGUAGUGCUAGAGUACUGUAGAGGCAAGCGGAAUUCCCAGUGUAGCGGUGAAAUGCGUAGAUAUUGGGAGGAACACCGGUGGCGUAGGCGGCUUGCUGGACAGUAACUGACGCUGAGGCGCGAAAGCCAGGGGAGCAAACGGGAUUAGAUACCCG